AUCAUUGCUGUAUUUAACCAAUUUAAUCUAAACAUUAACCAAAACAAUUACAUUCCUAUUUACCACCCUUCUAUUUAAACAUGUAUAGAUAACCCAAAAUGACUACUUUCUCUUAUCCCUCUUAUCAUUCUUCCGUUUUUUUUUGUUUUGUUUUGUUUUUUUUUUAACUGCAACCACUCAUGCACUUUACACAGACACAAAUCAAGCACCUACUGGACAAUGGGGUUCCCUCGUUAGAGCCCUC